UUGGGCAACACGGAGGAUUAUUCUUGGGCUUUGGGGACCACCGCAGGAUGAUUUUGCAGACUUGAGUUUGUUAGAAAUCACUCGGAAAGUAAUCAUGGUAGAAGCUCAAGCCCAACAGGAAAAUCAGCAAAUAACAUUAAGGUGUGAGUAGUGUUGGGAAAAGGUAUGGGGUCCUGAAGACAAUGGGGUCGCCCAGGCGCAUGGUGGGGUGCUGUCACCAUCUUCCCUCUCCCUGCAGGUGCCCCUGCAGCCUGGCACAGUCUCAGUGACAUAGAUCAGCCCAGAUGACAGCAAAUCAUCCGUGGGCUCAGUCCCCCUUUCCCUCCGGCCCCAGCCCUCACCCUAGGUGCCCGUGGGCUCAGGCCCCCCUUCCCUCAGGCCCCACCCCUCACCCUGGGUGCCCGUCAUUUCACUGGCCUCUUGGGGCAGAUUUUCUCUCACAGGAAGUUAUUUUUAAGAUGGAGGCGGCAGACAAAAUAAAAUCUUAGACUCCCAAACAGAUUAAGGAAUGCAUGUUCUUUUCAGCUUAGUGCCAAGGAUUACUCACCACAUCUACAAGCUGAGAUAUUUUCAAUCCAAAAUAUACUUUUAUGGUGUCAUUGGAAUUUAGUACAGGAUGAACCCACUUCUGAUAACCUUGGAAUAAAUGUCUGAGGAUGGCAUCUUCAUUUUCAGCUAUUGAACUGAAUCCUGCAGCGGCUGUAAGAACCGUGAGGGAAUUUGAAUUAGUGGCCAAGGCACAAUGGCUGCGUCAGCGUCCUGUGGUCUGGGCCUUAUAUGUUUGCAAAGAGCCUAAUUCAGCAAAGGCAGCUUUGAGUGUGUAGGGGUUCUUUGCAACCCUUCUCCUUGCCCACCACACAGCUAAAAGCAGCCUCUGUACUUUACCCAGAGCUGUACUUUCUCAAGGGGUUUUCCCACCAUGAGGUCAACACCUUGAUCCCCAAAGGAUCAUUCAUCUACAGCCACUUUCUUACCCUCCACCUCAUGUCUCACCUGAGAUGCCACCUGUCUACAGACAUGGUCUCUGCCAUAUGCUAGUCUUCCCCACUCCAUCCUAUCGCUUGGAUGGUCAUCCCUGCUUGUGGCUCCCCCAGAGCCCUGUGACGGCAAGCACAGCAUUCAUGCUGUGGGCUGAGGUUUAUCCAGCACCUGUAACAGCAUCCGGCCCACCGUGGGCCCCUUGGACCUCUGUUUCAUGCAUGAACCAGCCAAGGGGACAAGGGACAUUUUCCACGGCCUCAGCACACACCCAUGGGACACGUGCAAUGUGCCCUGUGCUGCCCCCUUGCCACCCCCUUGCCAUCUUGAGGAAGACUCCCUUUAGGAAGCCCUUCCUGGCCAAAAGCCAGCUUCUAACAAACACUCUACCCCUAAAUGUGCAAAAGUCUGAGAAACACCCUAAGCUUUAACCCUCCUUUAAAGACACAGCUUAGGAAAUGCAGCCUAGAAGUAAGUUUUGUUUCUCUUCGAUGUGGUGCCAUCCAGUCUGAAACAAAGGAGUUCUUUGCCAGCUGUUUUAAAUACAGCCCCUGUUUGCAUAUUGAGCAUCCUAUUAGUGCCCUGCACCCAUUCGUUCCACACUGCUUUACCAUGGAAAACCUAUAUUUCCACCAAGAAACACCCAUGAAGGGCAAUGAUCACAUGAAAGUCCCACCUCUAAGUUCACCCAAUCAAAAUCCAGAGAUUCUUAGGAAGAGGAGCAAAAUGGCACAAAUUCCUGCAAGUGCACGAGAUCUUUACUAAGGGCUUAGCAUGCCAAAAUGCACAUGCUAACGCUCCUCCGGCAAACAGCAGUGGGGAUGAGGUGGGCUGCAUGCUCUGGUUACCCCCAUCCUUUUCUCUUCCGCUCUAGGAAGCAUAUGAGUGACAGAGAGAGGUGUAACCUUACAUUUGCACUUAUUUAUUUAGAAAGCUAGCUGUCCUCAACUUGGUACUUCAGCCAUUCUUAGCAGGCAGAGCUGCAUGAAGGAGCAGUGGGCUGGGUGACUGUGGGGGCAGCGCCGUGAGGGCCCUAAAACCUUACUGGAGAUGCAGGGGAGGGAGCAAAGGGGAAUCUCCCAAAGCCUUCUGAGGGAAGAGGCGUUCGCUCGCUCAGGCUGAACUGUGAGAAUGUCUUACGCAAGCCACACCGGCCUGAACGUCUUCAGAAUCCACGGCAGCUCUGCCCGCUCCCGUCUUCUCCGCCGGGACCACCCACUUCACAUCGCGCCACUUCACUCUUGGAUUUGCGCUGCUUCCAAACGGCUUCCAUUCUCGCCCCUUUCACGGACCCUUUUCUGCCUGUCAACUGCACCAUCUCGUAAAAGCAGAAGAAAAUCGUGUCCGUUGGCUUCCCAUCAAACUCGGGAAAACCUCCUGAGCUCUCACCGGGGUCUCGCGGGCCCUCCGUGGCCCUGCCCUCUCCGCGCCCUGGCCCCUCCCCGCCAGGGCCUCAGGCCAUCCGUCUCUCCGGAACUUGCAGCCAGCUCUUGCCCUGAAGAGCCUCCCGACCCCAACUGUGCACUUUGUCCCACCUUGGCUCACAAGUCUCGUCAUCUCCCUGAAGAGGUCAUUCUAUGUUACAGCACCUAAAAACUCCCUUCCGCCCAUCCCCUUCUGGCACUUUCUCUUGCAUCAGAGCCCUUGAUCAUAUUUUAUGUCUCUGCCUGCCCCUCUAGUCAAUGCUGUGCCCUUCUCACUGCUGUGUUACACUGCCAGGACAGCGCCCGGCGCAUGGUGGCCGCUGAGGAAAGGUGCAGGUAGCCAUGUGGCUUUUGUUUGCUGACGCCUUUCUCCUUCCUGCCUGUAACUGGCAGACAUCGAGACAUUUGGCCACCUGAGGAUUUCACGCCUGAUGAAAGCUUACAGACAUAAGAUGGCAGAAUAGAGAGACAGAUGGAUCCGGGGUCCCUGAUAGCAUUACAGGACCACCGCCCCAGCUCUGGACUGCCUACCUCCAGAUUUCUUGGGAUCUGUGUGUUUUGACCCCUGCUGCUGACUCAUAGGGAGUGCUGCUGGCUGUGUGGAGGAAGGAAGAGUCCCCAUCUGCACCGGCCGUUAUGGGCGGAAUGUUUGUCUCUUGAAAUCCAUAUGCAGGAGCCCCAACCGCCAACGUGACUGUUGGAGAUGGGGCCUAUUAUGAGGUAACAGGGCCAGACAAGGCCCUCAGAGUGGGGCCCUAACCAGUAGCACUGGUGUCCUUAUAGGGAGAGGAGGAGGUAUCAGAGAUCUGUGCACACAAGCUCUGAGGAAAGGCCAUGUGGACAUGCAGCCAGGAAGCAGCUGUUCACAAGCCAGGAAGAGUUUUCCCCAGAAACUGAGCUUGUCAGCACCUUGAUCAUGGACUUCUAGCCUCCAGAUCUGUGAGAAAAUACGUUUCUAUUAAGCCACCCAGUCUGUGGGGUUUUGUUACAGCAGCCCUUGCUGACUAGUGCAAAUCUGUAUUGACCAAAACAGAACUUUCCCCCAAAAAAGGAAGGAAGGGAGAGAGCGGGGGAGGGAGGGACCCCCCACCACUAAGCGUCUGCCUUCUAUUCUUGGACUGUGUUUCCCUUCCUUCCUCAGACUCUCAGACCCUCUGCUGUCUCCUUACCCCCAUAUUCAGCCAAUCUGAACAAACUCACUCACACCAAGGUACAAAUAACUGAUAAGACUUAAUAGGUGAAACUUCCAUGACUACUAUAGUUUUAUAAGGCAACACCAUUGUUUGUCCUCAGCUAGGAGAGGAAGAAAAUAGUGGAAGACUUUCAACCUCAGCAAGUCUGGUGGGAGAGGUGUAUUUUUUGUUUUGACACCUUUGGUCUAUUUUGGUUUUGCCUUGCAUUAUCUCUACCUUGUCCAAAACUAGCAUAUCCCAAAUGUGGCAGCCUCGUCUGUCAACACAUAGAGCCAGCUCCCAGGGUGAGAUCAAAUAAUAAGCAUGUAAUGGACACUUGCUAGCAGGAGAGUUUAUUGGAAUAAUGUUGUUUUGUUCCCUCUUGCAUCCCACAUGCUGGAACCAUUCUUAGGAUACAGUUAGAUCCUCAAUAAAUAUUUAUUGAAUGAAUAAGCACACAUCAUCAUCUGGUAAGAGUGACAGGAAGAUGCAUUUGCAACAACAUGGAUGGAGAUAGAAGGUAUUAUGCUUAGUGAAAUAAGCCAGGUAGAGAAAGGCAAUUACCAAAUG